CCUACGGGAGGCAGCAGUGGGGAAUAUUGGGCAAUGGAGGCAACUCUGACCCAGCAACGCCGCGUGAAUGAUGAAGGUCUUCGGAUUGUAAAGUUCUUUUCUCAGGGAAGAAGAAAGUGACGGUACCUUAGGAAUAAGCCUCGGCUAACUACGUGGCAGCAGCCGCGGUAAUAAGUAGGAGGCAAGCGUUAUCCGGAAUGACUGGGCGGAAAGGGUGCGGAGGUGGGUUGACAAGUUAGUAGCGCAACUCCGAGGCUCAACUUCGGAACUACUACUAAAACUGUUGGACUUGAGUGCAGGAGGGGCAAUCGGAAUUCCUAGUGGAGCGGUGGAAUGCGUAGAUAUUAGGAGGAACACCAGUGGCGAAGGCGGAUUGCUAGACUGUAACUGACACUGAGGCACGAAAGCGUGGGGAGCAAACAGGAUUAGAUACCCUAGUAGUC
rnacentral:rRNA from 1 species